UACGUAGGGUGCAAGCGUUGUCCGGAAUUAUUGGGCGUAAAGAGCUCGUAGGCGGUCUGUCGCGUCUGCUGUGAAAACCUGGGGCUUAACCCUGGGCUUGCAGUGGGUACGGGCAGACUAGAGUGCGGUAGGGGAGACUGGAAUUCCUGGUGUAGCGGUGAAAUGCGCAGAUAUCAGGAGGAACACCGGUGGCGAAGGCGGGUCUCUGGGCCGAUACUGACGCUGAGGAGCGAAAGCGUGGGGAGCGAACAGG
rnacentral:rRNA from 1 species